GUUCCUACGGGAGGCAGCAGUAGGGAAUCUUCCACAAUGGGCGAAAGCCUGAUGGAGCAACGCCGCGUGGGUGAAGAAGGUCUUCGGAUCGUAAAACCUUGUUGUUAGAGAAGAAAGUGCGUGAGAGUAACUGUUCACGUUUCGACGGUAUCUAACCAGAAAGCCACGGCUAACUACGUGCCAGCAGCCGCGGUAAUACGUAGGUGGCGAGCGUUGUCCGGAUUUAUUGGGCGUAAAGCGAACGCAGGCGGUCUUUUAAGUCUGAAGUGAAAGGCUUUGGCUUAACCGGAGUCG
rnacentral:rRNA from 1 species